GGACGCAGGCGAAGCGGGACGGGGAGGCGGGGCCGAAGUAGCCUCUAGUUCGUUAGUCAAAACGUGAAAAAAAAGACCUGCUUUGCCCUGGGAAAUAGUAACCCUGCCAAAUACAUCAGCUUGUAGGAGACAGAGGUAUGUUUCUAUAAAACCUGAUAACCGAAAAUUGGCCAACGGAACAAAUGUCCUCGGCUUACUGAUUGACACUUUAUUAAAGGAAGGCUUUCACUUGGUCAGCACUAGAACAGUAUCCUCUGAAGACAAAACUGAAUGCUAUAGCUUUGAAAGGAUAAAAAGCUCUGAUGUGCUCAUCAUGAACGAAACACCAAAACCAGAGACUAUCAUCAUACCAGAGCAAUCUCAGAUAAAGAAAUGAAGUUGUCUAUUCUCUUUUAAAGAGAAA
rnacentral:sRNA from 1 species